GCCCCCGUAGCUCAACUGGAUAGAGCUGCUCCGUCCUAAGGAGAAGGUUGAUGGUUCAAGUCCGUCCGGGGGUGCCA
rnacentral:tRNA from 1 species